GAAAUGUGGGAACAUAGGGCUGUGGGAACAUAGGGCCUAAUUUUAAUAAUAAUCUUAGAAAUGUGGAAACAUAGGGCUGUGGGAACAUAAGGCUAACCCCCAGCUAACUAUCAAUUAGCAAACUUGCUAGCUCAAUUGCUAAAUUGACAAUCGAAAUCACGCCACAUCUCUUUUGUGGAGCAGAGGACGAUACUCUGUUAGAGACAGCUAGUGUAAAAUAAUUUUUCAAUAGCUGGCUCCAUUUUAGACUCUCUGGCUAUCCGUUCCCUCAAAAUGUCAGGACUGUCUUGACUGUUUGCAAAUAGGAAACCGUGUGAAUACGUGUUUACUUCGCCGCUGCAAGUCCAUCCACUGAUCUAUACACUUCUUCUGAAGCUUUGUUAGAAAUGAUGGUGUGAUUGGGCGCUAAGACGUUUUAUGAACCCUACAAAGUGACGAAGUCGGCAAAGGAAAGGUCACCGUUUAUUUCAUUAAUGUGUUUACUGUGUUAAUGGACUGAGGAUGGGAAGAGGAUUCGGUAUUCGGUUUCGGAUUCGGCAGAAUCUUAACCAGUGGAUUCGGUAUUCGCCCGAACCCCAAAAAUGGGUUAAAACAGAUGAUCUGGCCUAGUUAACCAUCAAAAUAUGGUCUAAAAGGGAAUACUGAGAAAGAAAUUGGUUCUAAAUGUCGACACAUUCUCUUAAUAUUCCCCAAAUCUAAUCUUGCAAUAUCCACUCAAAGAUUUAUUUUCGCCCUCGCGGUUUGCGGCAGUGAAUCAUGAAGUUCAUUGAGAAACACUCAAUACUUUACAAGCUCUCACUGACUUCCUCUUCAGUACUUCCUCUCGAAAGUCUUACCCUGCCCAAAUCUAACCAACAAAGAACUAACCGAGAACGCAUUGUCAUGUGUGAGUGCUUAUGAAAUUCACACUGAAAGUUGAUAGUGUGUUUUCAGACCUCUGGGACUAUGCGCAUGUCAAAUGGUUAUUAAAAUAAAGUCUUUGUUCCCAGUGUUGAACUGGAAGAACAUGGCUGCAGUUCUGAAAGCACCAGAUUUCUCCCAAACUAUCUAACAAACCCAGCGUCUGAAUAAAUCGGAUGCUAUAACUAGUCUGUGUUGUUGCAGAAUUACGAUUUCCAGACUUGAAUCUCGCAGCGAUAACUGUUCUCUGUGAGAUGUUGUCUGGUUGUAAAAGAGCUGGUCUGGCUGGAGCUUCACCAAAGUCUUUUGUGUGUAGCAGCUGGUUUAAGCCUCGUAUUUUUUUAAUACCAGGCUGACGUUCUUGUCCAGAUUAAGUGCCCUGAUACACAAAGCUGACCUUAAACAACGAACGCCGCCAAUGGAUGACUGAUCCAACGCUUUGCGUCUUUACAGUCUCUAGAAAAGUUGAGAUUUGCGUCCACUGUGUACAUCUGUCCACAGUGGACACAUAUCUCUUCUUCAAAUCCACGCUAUAGUUAUCCUCAUUUGCUGUUUGUGUUGUCAGACCACUGAAAGAGUACAAAAGUUAUUUAAUCAAGGCUGCUGUGCUGCAGUAAUAAAGUCAUAAUGUUAUAAUCACGAUGACAAAAUCACUACAACUGAGUUGGUAGCGAAACGAGUCAUUUCGAUUGAGUUGUGGCGCUUAAAUAAAUGUAUCCACUGAUUUACAGACUUCACUUAUGCCCUGUAAGUCAAUGGAAAAAAAGUAUUUUUGCGCCAGAGUGCAUAACGUGACAGACUCGACUGUCGUAAUUCCACGGUUUGGCCACUAUGUCGAAUUGGCUUCAAAGCCCCGCCCACUUCCUGGGAUCUGUGUAAACCAGACUAUGAUGUCAAGCACGCAAUUCAGUUUCCAUUGGAUGGAUAUUUCCCAAUUUUAUAUGCCAUCGUAGCGGCGCUUGUUAAGUCCUAUCAUAAAGAUCGUGAAUCCACUGACUGACGAUCAGUUUACACAUCCGUGCUUCUGCUUCACGAGGGAAUCAAAACGAGCGUAUUUGAGGAACAUUUGCAGAAAGUUUAACCUUUUUCAACUUCUUCACGUCAACUUAAAUGUCACAUACCUAUACCGUCCUUUUAAGCUUUUUAAAGUUCAACUAUUUUAGGCAAGAAGCUGAUGAAAUAUUAACUUUAAACCUGGAUUCAGAUUAGAUUAAAUGCUGUUAAAUCCCGACCUUCCACUUGACCGCGGCGGUCAGCGAUGAACGCCCAAACGUGGCCUGAUAACAGUCCCCAAAAAUAACAAUUUGUUGGCUUUGUGUAUCAGGGCUUCCAGCGAAUGCAACAAUAAAAUAUCCUAAUUCCCAAAUGUCACCGGCCUUGGAUUAUUGCUGAUGUCAGAGGUCAGAGAUCACAGCACAAAAAUGAUGGGAUACAAAAACCCAGUGACUGUAUGAUCCACCGUUGACAAAAAAGGGGAAGGGAAAUAAAAAGGAAGAGAACUUUCCAUCAGGUUAUCUGACCGUACAACCACAUGAUGUGGACUGUCAGAGCUCUAACUGAUCGAUAGUACUAUUAAUCUUCCUCUGUGGAAGUUGGGAGAUUUAUUUAUAUCUUAUUAUAAAUAAAAGAGGAAUAUAUCACCUUAAAGAGUCUCUGUGUUGUAUAACGAGAAGUUCGAUGUGUGAUAUAUAGACUUUAUGUUGGAUCUCAGGGCUUCUGGACUCUGGUUUAAGCAGAAAUCGGCUUUAUGUUUUACAUGAGAUCAGGAAAAUCCAAAGCUGUAAAUUCUUUAAAAAAAAAGUUUUUUAUUGCCUUCAUGCUUUUUUAUAUUCUUUGAUUUAAGGGGCUUUUUUUGGCUUAUUUUUAUAUCCUGUCUUCCUUUCUUCUAUCUGUGUAUGCAAGUUUUAUUGGAGGUAUCUUCCACAGUUUCUGCUACUUAAAGCUGCAUUAAUUGUUGUUUUUAGGCAGCAAAACCACCUUAAAAAAACACAUUACAUUGACAUUAGGGCUGCAACUAAAGUUGUGAACAUUGGCCAAUAUAAAACAUCAAAUUCUCACUUUUGAGAAGCUGGAACCAACAAAGUGAUAAAUGACGAUUAAUCAACUGAUUAAUUCUGAAAUAAGUUGCCAUGUAAAACACAAACUAGGAGCUAAAGAAGGCUCAAGGUGACUCCUUUUAAAUUACAGUCUCAGUACAUUGAAUUUAAAAUAUAAAAAAUAUGAAUUAAUGCAGCUUUAAAGACAGCAAAACUACUGAUCAGGUUAUUAUGAAAUGUGUUGAUGCUUUUAUUUUGUAGUAUCCAGAAUCUUCUGUCCUUUAAUUAUGUAAAUUAAUGAUUAAAUAUUUUAAAUUACUAAAAUGUUCUUUAAACCAAAUGUAACUCUUCAAUGAUUCAGUAAAAGUGACUCUUGAAUGUAGGUUUUUGAGUUAUAAUAUAAAAAAAAAAAUGUUUUUUUUUGUUGUCUGUGUACACAUCAGAUUCACUGGCUACAAAAUGAUGUUGCUUUAGGUUUAUAUGGCUUUACUUUUGUUUGUUUUUCUGCUAAAUAAAAUGAUUUUAAAUGGUC